UACGUAGGGGGCGAGCGUUGUCCGGAAUUAUUGGGCGUAAAGGGUUCGCAGGCGGUUUUUUAAGUCAGAGGUGAAAGGCUACGGCUCAACCGUAGUAAGCCUUUGAAACUGGGAAACUUGAGUGCAGGAGAGGAGAGUGGAAUUCCUAGUGUAGCGGUGAAAUGCGUAGAUAUUAGGAGGAACACCAGUUGCGAAGGCGGCUCUCUGGACUGUAACUGACACUGAGGCACGAAAGCGUGGGGAGCAAACAGGAUUAGAUACCCCCGUAGUCCCUGAGCGGGCU
rnacentral:rRNA from 1 species